rnacentral:rRNA from 1 species
CGCAAUGGACGAAAGUCUGACGGAGCAACGCCGCGUGAGCGAAGAAGGUCUUCGGAUCGUAAAGCUCUGUUGUUAGGGAAGAACAAGUACCGUUCGAAUAGGGCGGUACCUUGACGGUACCUAACCAGAAAGCCACGGCUAACUACGUGCCAGCAG